UAAGGAAUAUUGGUCAAUGGAGGCAACUCUGAACCAGCCAUGCCGCGUGCAGGAAGACAGCCCUCUGGGUCGUAAACUGCUUUUAUUCGGGAAUAAACCUACUUACGUGUAAGUAGCUGAAUGUACCGAAGGAAUAAGGAUCGGCUAACUCCGUGCCAGCAGCCGCGGUAAUACGGAGGAUCCAAGCGUUAUCCGGAUUUAUUGGGUUUAAAGGGUGCGUAGGCGGCCUGUUAAGUCAGGGGUGAAAGACGGUAGCUCAACUAUCGCAGUGCCCUUGAUACUGAUGGGCUUGAAUACACUAGAGGUAGGCGGAAUGUGACAAGUAGCGGUGAAAUGCAUAGAUAUGUCACAGAACACCGAUUGCGAAGGCAGCUUACUAUGGUGUCAUUGACGCUGAGGCACGAAAGCGUGGGGAUCAAACA
rnacentral:rRNA from 1 species